UACAGGGGGUGCAAACGUUGCUCGGAAUCAUUGGGCGUAAAGCGCACGUAGGCGGUCUGUUAUGUCGGAUGUGAAAGCCCUUGGCUUAACUGAGGAAGUGCAUCCGAAACUGGCAGGCUAGAGUACUAAAGAGGGUCGCGGAAUUCCCGGUGUAGAGGUGAAAUUCGUAGAUAUCGGGAGGAACACCGAUGGCGAAGGCAGCCCCCUGGGCUAACACUGACGCUCAUGCACGAAAGCGUGGGGAGCAAACAGG
rnacentral:rRNA from 1 species